CCUGACCGGCGGGAGGGAGCCCCCGCCCCGCGCCGUGACGACUGCGGACCCACCGAGCCCCGCUCCCGCCGCGGCCCGGGGUGCGGGCGGGCGGCCCCUCGGCGGGAGCCGGCCAGGAUGCCGGGGACAUGAGCAAUGGAUGAUUUUGGCUUCCUCUGAAUAACUCCUGAGAGGGCAUGUGUAGUUCCUCUGUGGGAGGACAUUGUCACCUGUGUCAACAGCUUUGAGGCUUUAGCUAAACUUGUGGGAGAGAAAGAUAUGGCAUGUGGAAGACACUGUGCAUGAGGUGAAUGAGGAGUUCUUCCAGCUCUCUUCUCCAGCCCUGGAGCUCCAGAAAGAGGAGGAUGAGCCAGACCCACUGCCCCCAGGUGAAUGCUGCACAUUUGUGCGUUUGCUCUAAGCUGAGGGGUCAGUUCCUCUGUGAACCCGCCCUCCGUCCACCUCAGACGGGCAGCCGUGAAGGUAGCUCGACAGCAGAGGGACUAGGUAGCUGCAGCAGCCUGUCCUCAGCUGCACUGAGGGGCCAGAAGAGCAUGACUCGUUGAGGAUAAAGUAACAGGUGGCUCCCAGCAUCUCCCCUUGUGAGUGGCAGGAAGAUAAACUUCACCCACUGGAGACAAGUGGCCCAUAUGGAGAGAAGCUGGGACCCUGGGCCCUGAAGAGCCACCAGGCCCUGGAGCUGGAGGUGAGGAGAGUCCACCUCGCUCAGAGGAUUGAAGACCUGGAGUGGGAGCUGUCCCUGCUCCAUGAGGCGGCCAACAGCAGUUUGAGCAUGGGAGGGAGCUGGCCCAGCUGACACAGCGGCCUAAGGGGCACUGAGUCACAUCAGAUGCUGCAUGGUGGCCACCUCCGGGAGGUGCCUUCUCACCGAGAACAUGAACGGGCUCCCCUGGUAGGAAGGAGUGGGCAUCUGGGGCCCGGAGUGUGUGCUGGUUUUACGACGUGCUCCUACAGGGAAACACCUGGAUUUCUUUCAGAGCCUGGACCUCAGCUUGUGCUCAAUUUUGCCUUGAACUUUCUGGGGUGAGGGAAAAUAAACUGACAUGGGUUGACAAAAUCA